rnacentral:rRNA from 1 species
GACGAACGCUGGCGGCGUGCUUAACACAUGCAAGUCGAACGAUGAAGCCGGAGCUUGCUCUGGUGAAUUAGUGGCGAACGGGUGAGUAACACGUGAGUAACCUGCCCUUGACUCUGGGAUAACUGCGGGAAACUGUAGCUAAUACCGGAUACGACCCUCGGAGGCAUCUCCUGGGGGUGGAAAGAAUUUCGGUCAAGGAUGGACUCGCGGCCUAUCAGCUAGUUGGUGAGGUAAAGGCUCACCAAGGCGACGACGGGUAGCCGGCCUGAGAGGGUGACCGGCCACACUGGGACUGAGACACGGCCCAGACUCCUACGGGAGGCAGCAGUGGGGAAUAUUGCACAAUGGGCGCAAGCCUGAUGCAGCAACGCCGCGUGAGGGAUGACGGCCUUCGGGUUGUAAACCUCUUUUAGCAGGGAAGAGGCGAUAGUGACGGUACCUGCAGAAAAAGCAUCGGCUAACUACGUGCCAGCCGCCGCUGUAA